rnacentral:misc_RNA from 1 species
GAAAUGCGAUAAGUAAUGUGAAUUGCAGAAUUCAGUGAAUCAUCGAAUCUUUGAACGCACAUUGCGCCCGCCAGUAUUCUGGCGGGCAUGCCUGUUCGAGCGUCAUUACAACCCUCAGGCCCCCGGGCCUGGCGUUGGGGAUCGGCGGAAGCCCCCUGCGGGCACAACGCCGUCCCCCAAAUACAGUGGCGGUCCCGCCGCAGCUUCCAUUGCGUAGUAGCUAACACAUCGCAACUGGAGAGCGGCGCGGCCACGCCGUAAAACACCCAACUUCUGAAUGUUGACCUCGAAUCAGGUAGGAAUACCCGCUGAACUUAAGC